rnacentral:rRNA from 1 species
UACAGAGGUCUCGAGCGUUGUUCGGAUUCAUUGGGCGUAAAGGGUGCGUAGGUGGCGCUGUAAGUCGGGUGUGAAAUCCUGGGGCUUAACCCCGGAACUGCAUUCGAUACUGCAGUGCUUGAGGACUGGAGAGGAGACUGGAAUUCCCAGUGUAGCGGUGAAAUGCGUAGAUAUUGGGAGGAACACCGGUGGCGAAGGCGGCUCUCUGGACCGGUACUGACGCUGAGACGCGAAAGCCAGGGGAGCAAACGGG